AUUGAACGCUGGCGGCAUGCCUUACACAUGCAAGUCGAACGGCAGCACGGGGCAACCUGGUGGCGAGUGGCGAACGGGUGAGUAAUGCAUCGGAACGUACCUUUCAGUGGGGGAUAACGUAGCGAAAGUUACGCUAAUACCGCAUAUUCUGUGAGCAGGAAAGCAGGGGAUCGCAAGACCUUGCGCUGAUUGAGCGGCCGAUGUCAGAUUAGCUAGUUGGUGAGGUAAAGGCUCACCAAGGCGACGAUGUGUAGCGGGUCUGAGAGGAUGAUCCGCCACACUGGAACUGAGACACGGUCCAGACUCCUACGGGAGGCAGCAGUGGGGAAUUUUGGACAAUGGGGGCAACCCUGAUCCAGCCAUGCCGCGUGAGUGAAGAAGGCCUUCGGGUCGUAAAGCUCUUUCGGCCGGGAAGAAAUCGCACGGGCUAAUACCCUGUGUGGAUGACGGUACCGGAAUAAGAAGCACCGGCUAACUACGUGCCAGCCGCCGCAGUAACAC
rnacentral:rRNA from 1 species